rnacentral:rRNA from 1 species
UACGGAGGGGGCUAGCGUUGUUCGGAAUUACUGGGCGUAAAGCGCACGUAGGCGGCUGUUCAAGUCAGAGGUGAAAGCCUGGAGCUCAACUCCAGAACUGCCUUUGAAACUAGACAGCUAGAAUCAUGGAGAGGUGAGUGGAAUUCCGAGUGUAGAGGUGAAAUUCGUAGAUAUUCGGAAGAACACCAGUGGCGAAGGCGGACUCACUGGACAUGUAUUGACGCUGAUACGCGAAAGCGUGGGGAUCAAACAGG